rnacentral:rRNA from 1 species
GAAACCGUUUAGGGGUAAACCUGAGAAUCCGAAAGGUCGAAGGGAGNAAUUCAUUCGCGUUUCGCGACUGGCGUGAAGCGGUCGAGUGACAGAGUCGUUUACGAUUUCUGCGCCUUCCGUUUUUCGAUCUGGCUGCGAACGCGUGCACUUUUCUCCUGGUAGGACGUCGCGAUCCGUUGGGUGAUGGUCUACGGCUCGUAGUGGAGCCCGUGCGUACGGUUCACGCCGUUACGUUGCGGACCUACGUGUCCUGACUGACUCUCUCGACGGUAUACGAAAGGUUUCAGGCCGCUUUCUUUAAGCGUUCGGCUCGUUACAAGCGCGCCAGAUGUGUUGGCUAUCGGACCUAGUGCCGGUUCUGACCUCUGGUGACUGUUGGUGACGAUGUUCUCGAACAGACCUCUAACCGAUCUGCGACGCUAUAGCUUUGGAUAAUUUCAGGACCCGUCUUGAAACACGGACCAAGGAGUCUAGCAUGUACGCAAGUCAUUGGGAAUCACUAAACCUAAAGGCUAAUGAAAGUAAAGGUCUUCCUCGCGAGGACUUAGGGAGGAUGAGUGGUUUACCUUUAAAGUGGCCUUUCCGCACUCCCGGGGCGUCUCAUUCUCAUUGCGAGAAGAGGCGCACCAAGAGCGUACACGCUGGGACCCGAAAGAUGGUGAACUAUGCCUGGUCAGGACGAANUCAGGGGAAACCCUGAUGGAGGUCCGUANCGAUUCUGACGUGCAAAUCGAUCGUCGGAACUGGGUAUAGGGGCGAAANACUAAUCGAACCAUCUAGUAGCUGGUUCC